rnacentral:rRNA from 1 species
AGAGUUUGAUCAUGGCUCAGAUUGAACGCUGGCGGCAGGCCUAACACAUGCAAGUCGAGCGGCAGCGACUUAACUGAACCUUCGGGGAACGUUAAGGGCGGGGAGCGGCGGACGGGUGAGUAAUGCCUGGGAAUAUGCCCUGAUGUGGGGGAUAACUAUUGGAAACGAUAGCUAAUACCGCAUAAUCUCUUCGGAGCAAAGAGGGGGACCUUCGGGCCUCUCGCGUCAGGAUUAGCCCAGGUGGGAUUAGCUUGUUGGUGAGGUAAUGGCUCACCAAGGCAACGAUCCCUAGCUGGUCUGAGAGGAUGAUCAGCCACACUGGAACUGAGACACGGUCCAGACUCCUACGGGAGGCAGCAGUGGGGAAUAUUGCACAAUGGGGGAAACCCUGAUGCAGCCAUGCCGCGUGUGUGAAGAAGGCCUUCGGGUUGUAAAGCACUUUCAGUAGGGAGGAAGGUAGUGUAGUUAACACCUGCACUAUUUGACGUUACCUACAGAAGAAGCACCGGCUAACUCCGUGCCAGCAGCCGCGGUAAUACGGAGGGUGCGAGCGUUAAUCGGAAUUACUGGGCGUAAAGCGCAUGCAGGCGGCCUGUUAAGUCAGAUGUGAAAGCCCGGGGCUUAACCUCGGAAUUGCAUUUGAAACUG